CGAGCUGAGAGGCAGAGAGAUAGCAUCCUAUUCACAUAAUUUGAGCCUCUGGAUCCAGCCAUGCCUGAAACCCAUCAAAUCUCUGGUCUUCCUAUUUAGGUCAGCCAAAAACUAAUUUCUUUUACUUGGGUUUCUGUCACUUACAACCCAAUGGGUCCUUAGUACUAUAACCCCUGUGUGCCUUAUUGGAAGAGGGAGAGAUUAAGAGAGAUGAAACUGGCAGGCCAGCCAUCCCCCCAGUUAGGCUUCCAGAGAGGAGACCUCCACAUCAGUAUGGUCAAAAGUAUAAACAUGUCUGUCCGGAGCUCUUCCUGCAGUGGGCCCAGGCAUUGGCCUUUGUGGCUUACUUUUACCACCAUCAUUUUGAUAGACUGUGAACUGGUAUAAAUAUUGCUCAAAAUCCAGAGCUGGAAUAAAAAUUGCCCCCAAAUCUGGAAUUUGGCCCUUCUUUUUAAUUUUUAUGUAUUUAUUUUUGAGACAGGAUCUUGCUCUGUCACCCACAGUGGUGCCAUCAUGGCUCACUGCAGCCUCAACCUUCUAGGUUCAAGCGAUCCUCCCACCUCAGUCUACUGAGUAGCUGGAACUACAGGUGCAUGCCACCACCAUACCUGGCUAAUUUUUAAAUUUUUUGUAGAGACAGAGUCCCACUAUGUUGCCUAGGCUGGUCUCCAACUCCUGGGCUCAAAGGAUCCUCCAGCCUCGGCCUCCCAAAGUGUUGAGAUUAUAAGUGUGAGCCACUGUGCCUGGCUGGAUUCGGCCCUCCUUGACAUCAAGCCUGUUCCUCAGCUUAACUGCAGGCACUGACCCAGACCAGGUCUGCCUGAGCAUAGUAGAUAAGUGAAGGAUGCCUACGUGAGUCAGGCCAGUGAUCAAGAAUAAAGAAACUGAAUGUUGGCCGGGCGUGGUGGGUCACGCCUGUAAUCCCAGCACUUUGAGAGACCAAGGCGGCUGGAUCACCUGAGGUCAGGAGUUUGAGACCAUCCCAACCAAUAUGGUGAAACCCCAUCUCUACUAAAAUUACAAAAAUUAGCCAGGCGUGGUUGCGGCGCCUGCAAUCCCAGCUACUUGGGAGGCUAAGGCAGGAGAAUUGCUUGAGCCCGGGAGGUGGAGGUUGCAGUGAGCCGACAUCCUGCCACUGCACUCCAGCCUGGGUGACAGAGUGAGACUCUCUGUCUCAAAAAAAAAAAAAAAGAAAAAAAAAAAGAAAAAAAAAAGAAAUUGGAUGUUAAAACCUUUACCAACCCCAGGUGAGUUCUGCCACCUGCAUUCCCCAUUUUGGUUGCAACCAAGUGACCACGUGGAAGCUUCUCCUACUCUUGCUACUGGCCCCUAGGGCUCCCCAAAAGAAACUCAGCCUCUUCAUGUCUCCUUCAUCUUUCUCUCUUCUGGGGGUCAUGUCCAAGGCUCCCAUUUGUACAUUUGGCCUCUGCCUACCUUGGGCCUCCCUGUGCCUUGCUUGGGUCAUUCUGGCAGCUUCUGACUGGGCCCAAUGCAGCCGGACUUUCCUCAUUCAAGUUGGUGCCCUGCGUCAGCCCCUCUCUUUCAGAGGCACAUGCCAUGGCCUCCUUGAGAAUUCUCCAGUGGCCUCCCUGCCCGAGGCGAGGGCACAACACAGAUGUCCUCAGGCCAAGCAGAGACAUGGGCCCAGUGACAUCACAUUUUCAGAUUUUUCUAGAAAAGCCAGAUACUUGAAUUUUGGGGGGUAAUUCACUUGAUUUUUAUGUGUUAGCCAUUAAUUAACAAAAAACAGUCCAGGCACAGUGGCUUAUGCUUGUAAUCCCAGCACUUUGGGAGGCUGAGGC
rnacentral:lncRNA from 1 species